rnacentral:rRNA from 1 species
AUUGAACGCUGGCGGCAGGCCUAACACAUGCAAGUCGAGCGAGCGGCGGACGGGUGAGUAAUGUAUGGGGACUGCCCGAUAGAGGGGGAUAACGACUGGAAACGGUGGCUAAUACUGCAUACAGUUGGCUAACCCAUAGGGGAUUAGCUAGUAGGUAAGGUAAUGGCUUACCUAGGCGAAGAUCCCUAGCUGGUCUGAGAGGAUGAUCAGCCACACUGGGACUGAGACACGGCCCAGACUCCUACGGAGGCAGCAGUGGGGAAUAUUGCACAAUGGGCGCAAGCCUGAUGCAGCCAUGCCGCGUGUAUGAAGAAGGCCCUAGGGUUGUAAAGUACUUUCAGUCGGGAGGCGUUACCGACAGAAGAAGCACCGGCUAACUCCGUGCCAGCAGCCGCGGUAAUAC